UGUAUUACCCAUUGAUCGGAAAAAAACUGAAAUCUUGGGAAUUGUAUAGCGAAUCGAUCGUCUGAGAGAGCGAAGAUGAAUUCAAUGGUGGCUUUGGGGAAGAAAUUCACGAGAAAUAUUCAAGAUAACAAACGCAGAUUGUUGUCUGCUAAGUAUGAAUUGAGGCGAAAGUUGUAUAAAGCUUUUGUUCAAGAUCCUCAACUUCCACCUGAAAUGCGAGAAGCUCAUCAGUACAAGCUUGCCAAGUUGCCCAGAAACAGUUCCUUUACGCGAAUCAGAAAUCGGUGCAUUUUUACUGGUCGACCUCGUGCCGUUUAUGAAAAGUUUCGAAUGUCUCGUAUUGUUUUUCGUGGUUUGGCUGCUCGUGGUGCUUUGCAAGGUGUAAAGAAAGCUUCUUGGUAGACAAUACAAUACCCAGGAUUUCUUCUUUUCAAGAUUUAGGAGUAUUACUACUGGAUAUCAUAUACUAAAGCCUAGUAGAUUACAGUGGGACAAGGUUUUCUAUUUCAGGAGUUGUUGCCAGCUUUUUCAAAUAAAUCAUCAUGUUACAAUCUCUAUCUCGUCCCUCAUCCGGAGUUUGGCUAUGCCAAUAUAUUUAUCUCCAUCUUUGCUUCAAGAUUUCUUGAUGUUCUUAAUCUGCUUGGUAGAACCUUGCUAAAGCUUUUCACUGUCUUGGAACUUUUGAUUUAUGAGCAGACCUGUACUCUAUUUCCAGCUUUGAAGUUUGAACUAAUUGCUUAUCAGAUA